ensembl:lncRNA
AGAGCCAGAGACGCUGCUCCCGCGGGAGGCCGCCCGCUACCUGGGGCGCCCGCCAGCGCCUCCUUCCCGGAUCCCAGCCGCCCCUGAUCCCGGGUUCCUCCAGGCCCGCAGCACCGUCCAGCCACCUCACUUGCCCUUCCCGCUUCGAGGCCAGCCGCUGGCCCGGCUACCUUCUCGGACAUCCUGGGGCGCCCCCCGCCCCAACCUCCUUGCAGCCUGGCCCAUCUCUGAGUCCCACCCGAGGUUGGGUACCAAGGCCUCCAGCUUCCGGGCCCCGUGACACCACCUCAGGGGUGCAGGCUGCUUCCACCUGCUGAGGCGCUGGGCCCAGCGAGCCCCCUCAGAAAGGCUGCGGUGGCGGUGCGGGGGUCUGUCUCCAGGCGUGCUGAGGGGCUUUGCCGAGACCCUGUCUCCUGCCCUUGGGCCCUCCACAUCCCUCAGGGAGACAGCCUUGGUCUGUUAGUGUCCUGGUUGUCAGAGUGACAGCGCUCGCUGACUCUCCUGAACAAGCCGAGGGAAGCCUGACUGGCCGGUGGACAAGGCCGCACUUUUUCACCCAAGUGGACGGUGGGAGGGACUCCUGCGGCCCCUCCGCGUGCCCGACCUGCAGGAGACUGUGGCACUAUAGGGGAUCAGCAGGACCCAGGUUGUUCAGCUGCUUCCCCAGCAGCCCUUGAGCCGCCUGUUUGGAAUUUUCCAGGACUGAGAGUAGCCCCACGAGGGGGCAGGGAGGGGUUACCAU